CUUGGAGCUGCUCGCAUCAUAGAACAGUCUGGAGUCCAGGGGUGCAUUUUCCUGUGUCACAGCCAGCCAGGCAGAGGCAUUGCAGCAGCGCCCCAGCUCUGCCCUGUAAGGGCAGAGAGUGAGCAGAAGCCUGGGGGAAGAAUAAAGGAGGACUGCCACGGGAUAAAGAAGGAGAGAGGGCUGAGAAUGAGAACAGGGGGCUAGGCAAGGUGCUACAGUAGAAGCAGAAGUAGAGGAUUAGAUACAAUUGGAGGUGCAGGCAGUCAUGCAAGGAUCAAUCUAAUAAAAAGACCUGGGCAGGCAUUCACCCAAAACUCAUCAUGCAAAAGAAGAUGACCAAGAGACUGUUGGAGUAAAGAAGGAGUCACCUGAAACAAAA